UACGAAGGUGGCAAGCGUUACUCGGAAUUACUAGGCGUAAAGGGCAGGUAGGUGGUUUGGUAAGUCUAUUGUGAAAGCUCCCGGCUCAACUGGGAGAGGUCAAUGGAUACUGCUGAACUUGAGUAUAGGAGAGGUUACUGGAAUUCCCGGUGUAGCGGUGAAAUGCGCAGAGAUCGGGAGGAACACCAAUGGCGAAAGCAGGUAACUGGACUAUUACUGACACUCAGCUGCGAAAGCUAGGGGAGCAAACAGG
rnacentral:rRNA from 1 species